GACGAACGCUGGCGGCGUGCUUAACACAUGCAAGUCGAACGGAAAGGCCCUGCUUUUGUGGGGUGCUCGAGUGGCGAACGGGUGAGUAACACGUGAGUAACCUGCCCUUGACUUUGGGAUAACUUCAGGAAACUGGGGCUAAUACCGGAUAGGAGCUCCUGCUGCAUGGUGGGGGUUGGAAAGUUUCGGCGGUUGGGGAUGGACUCGCGGCUUAUCAGCUUGUUGGUGGGGUAGUGACUUACCAAGGCUUUGACGGGUAGCCGGCCUGAGAGGGUGGACGGCCACAUUGGGACUGAGAUACGGCCCAGACUCCUACGGGAGGCAGCAGUGGGGAAUAUUGCACAAUGGGCGGAAGCCUGAUGCAGCAACGCCGCGUGCGGGAUGACGGCCUUCGGGUUGUAAACCGCUUUCGCCUGUGACGAAGCGUGAGUGACGGUAAUGGGUAAAGAAGCACCGGCUAACUACGUG
rnacentral:rRNA from 1 species